rnacentral:pre_miRNA from 1 species
AUCAUCCAUGAGCCGUAUUCAAUGCAAAUGCACGCAAAUGAAGAUGAAACAAUCGACUCGAUUCAUGUGCAUGCAUUUACAUUGAAUACGUCUCAUGGAU